GACUUUGUUUUGGAUUAUACGCUAUCAUCAUGAUAAGCAGCCUCUAGCAAGCAUUCGGGUUGUACUCAUGCUGACUUCAUUGACGCCACGACGCGGUGACAUUCCUGAGUGUUAGGCCCCCAAUAUUGAAAUAGUGCUGCCCAAUCAUGAAAUCGAUAUUAAAGAACUCUCGAACUGCACUUGGCCCAAAUAUCGCAUAACACGGGCUCUCCAGAGGCUUUGAGAACUUACACCGGCGCGUUGCAGCAGCACAUCAAUGGGUCGUAUGCCUGACGUCAUGGUUAAAACGUAAGCAACUCUAUUUAAUGAACUCUUUUUUGUUGUUAGUCACUUUAAAACAGCUGUGUUUCCUUUUAUUUGAUUUCUGUUUCUAACCACUUGUUUCGUCUUUUUUUUUUGUUUUUAAUUUAGCAACACAAAAGCGCGCUUGAACGGGCGAAGACUAUUCCGAAGCUGCCGACAGCUCUGUUGGCGAACUUUGCGCGACGACUGUGCAAUUGGAAA